rnacentral:rRNA from 1 species
CGUAGAAGACUAGUGUUAUUCAUCUUUAAUAGGUUUAAGGGUACCUAGACGGUAAAUUAGUCUAAAUAUGAUACGGUUUACUAGAGUUAUAUAUAAGGAGGUGAGUAUUUAAGGAGUAGAGUUGAAAUUCAGUCAUACCUUAAGGACUGGUAAUGGCGAAAGCAACCUUUUAUCUAAUAACUGACGUUGAGGGACGAAGGCUCGGGUAGCGAACAGGAUU